GACGAACGCUGGCGGCGUGCUUAACACAUGCAAGUCGAACGGAAAGGCCCUGCUUUUGUGGGGUGCUCGAGUGGCGAACGGGUGAGUAACACGUGAGUAACCUGCCCUUGACUUUGGGAUAACUUCAGGAAACUGGGGCUAAUACCGGAUAGGAGCUCCUGCUGCAUGGUGGGGGUUGGAAAGUUUCGGCGGUUGGGGAUGGACUCGCGGCUUAUCAGCUUGUUGGUGGGGUAGUGGCUUACCAAGGCUUUGACGGGUAGCCGGCCUGAGAGGGUGACCGGCCACAUUGGGACUGAGAUACGGCCCAGACUCCUACGGGAGGCAGCAGUGGGGAAUAUUGCAUAAUGGGCGGAAGCCUGAUGCAGCAACGCCGCGUGCGGGAUGACGGCCUUCGGGUUGUAAACCGCUUUCGCCUGUGACGAAGCGUGGGUGACGGUAAUGGGUAAAGAAGCACCGGCUAACUACGUG
rnacentral:rRNA from 1 species